GACGAACGCUGGCGGCGUGCUUAACACAUGCAAGUCGAACGGUAAGGCUCCAGCUUGCUGGGGUACACGAGUGGCGAACGGGUGAGUAACACGUGGGUGACCUGCCCUGCACUUCGGGAUAAGCCUGGGAAACUGGGUCUAAUACCGGAUAGGACCGCACCGUGAGGGUGUGGUGGAAAGUUUUUUCGGUGUGGGAUGGGCCCGCGGCCUAUCAGCUUGUUGGUGGGGUAAUGGCCUACCAAGGCGGCGACGGGUAGCCGGCCUGAGAGGGUGGACGGCCACAUUGGGACUGAGACACGGCCCAGACUCCUACGGGAGGCAGCAGUGGGGAAUAUUGCACAAUGGGCGGAAGCCUGAUGCAGCGACGCCGCGUGGGGGAUGACGGCCUUCGGGUUGUAAACUCCUUUCACCAUCGACGAAGGGUUUCUGACGGUAGAUGGAGAAGAAGCACCGGCUAACUACGUGCCAGCAGCCGCGGUAAUACGUAGGGUGCGAGCGUUGUCCGGAAUUACUGGGCGUAAAGAGCUCGUAGGUGGUUUGUCGCGUCGUCUGUGAAAUUCCGGGGCUUAACUCCGGGCGUGCAGGCGAUACGGGCAUAACUUGAGUACUGUAGGGGAGACUGGAAUUCCUGGUGUAGCGGUGAAAUGCGCAGAUAUCAGGAGGAACACCGGUGGCGAAGGCGGGUCUCUGGGCAGUAACUGACGCUGAGGAGCGAAAGCAUGGGGAGCGAACAGGAUUAGAUACCCUGGUAGUCCAUGCCGUAAACGGUGGGCGCUAGGUGUGGGUUUCCUUCCACGGGAUCCGUGCCGUAGCUAACGCAUUAAGCGCCCCGCCUGGGGAGUACGGCCGCAAGGCUAAAACUCAAAGGAAUUGACGGGGGCCCGCACAAGCGGCGGAGCAUGUGGAUUAAUUCGAUGCAACGCGAAGAACCUUACCUGGGCUUGACAUAUACAGGAUCGCGCCAGAGAUGGUGUUUCCCUUGUGGCUUGUAUACAGGUGGUGCAUGGUUGUCGUCAGCUCGUGUCGUGAGAUGUUGGGUUAAGUCCCGCAACGAGCGCAACCCUUGUCUUAUGUUGCCAGCACGUUGUGGUGGGGACUCGUAAGAAACUGCCGGGGUUAACCCGGAGGAAGGUGGGGAUGACGUCAAAUCAUCAUGCCCCUUAUGUCCAGGGCUUCACACAUGCUACAAUGGUCGGUACAGUGGGUUGCCAGUCCGUGAGGGCGAGCUAAUCCCGCAAAGCCGGUCUCAGUUCGGAUCGGGGUCUGCAACUCGACCCCGUGAAGUCGGAGUCGCUAGUAAUCGCAGAUCAGCAACGCUGCGGUGAAUACGUUCCCGGGCCU
rnacentral:rRNA from 1 species